GAGCUCAUUGAUCAUCAUAACAGAGUCUAUUGAAAGUCCUCAGCAGGCGGUGUGACGAUGUGACCAGCUCUGGCCAAGGAGCUGUAGGCAGAAGUGUCUUGCAGCAGCUCCUGUAAAUCUUAAAAGACAGCUGGUGCGUGUCUUUUUUCCUUUUUUUUUCCCUUCCCCCUUCCUGCUGCGCUGAAUAUGGAUAUGGUGAGUGAAUCUAGAGCAGCCAUUUGGAGGUAUGAAGAGAUCUUGGAAAUAGAGGCCAUGUGUGUUGAAACAAGACCGAACAACUCCAAGUUCCUGAAGACUUCAUUUCACCAACCCAGAACCUCCUUGAUCAUCACAGCCUUUGCAUGGAUGAUUGUCUGUCCUCUGUUGGGCCCCUUCUGAAGAGUUGGAGUUGGCUUUAUACAAUUAUUCCCAAAUCUUCUAAACUGACAGUGAGGGAGAGUAAUUUGAAAGGACUGCUCAACUCAACGUCAUUUGAAGAUUUGCACCACAGCUGCAUUUUUCCAAUUUCCUGGCAUCUAUUCUGCUCUCCUGGACUUUUCAAAAACAAUUUCUUUCAGAUCCCUGGAGGCCUCUCCCAGGGCCUGUGGUGUGGAGAGUUGGACUUGACCCUACUGUAAGAGACCCAACUUCCAAAGACUGCAUCAGAUGAAAGGCUCUCCAUAUAGACUACAGACUUGUCAGCUGGUUAAGGAGGCAAACAGAACAGUCUGCUACAAACUCCAGUCCAUGUAUCUGUGCUGAAAAUAAAAGGAGUCUUCAGGAAUCAAAGAAGAAAAUAUUUUUAUAAAGAAAUUUUAUUGCAUAAUUCUUGUAUACAAUAAACAUAGGAAAAGGGUUUUUAAUGAAAAUUCAUGUCAUUUUUCAAAA
rnacentral:lncRNA from 1 species